GACGAACGCUGGCGGCGUGCUUAACACAUGCAAGUCGAACGAAGUGGCGAACGGGUGAGUAACGCGUAAUCAACCUGCCCUUCAGAGGGGGACAACAGUUGGAAACGACUGCUAAUACCGCAUACUGAAGGAGGGGAUUGCGUCUGAUUAGCUAGUUGGAGGGGUAACGGCCCACCAAGGCGAUGAUCAGUAGCCGGUCUGAGAGGAUGAACGACCCAAUUGGGACUGAGACACGGCCCAGACUCCUGCACAAGUCACCAAGGAUAAAUCUUCCGCAAUGGACGAAAGACUGACGCAGCAACGCCGCGUGAGUGAUGACGGCCUUCGGGUUCUAAACCUCUGUUAAUCGGGACGCGGUACCGGAAUAGAAAGCCACGGCUAACUACGUGCCAGCAGCCGCGGUAAUAC
rnacentral:rRNA from 1 species